CAGCCGCCGCGGGAAUACGAAGGGGGCUAGCGUUGUUCGGAAUUACUGGGCGUAAAGCGCACGUAGGCGGAUAUUUAAGUCAGGGGUGAAAUCCCGCAGCUCAACUGCGGAACUGCCUUUGAUACUGGGUAUCUUGAGUAUGGAAGAGGUUAGUGGAAUUGCGAGUGUAGAGGUGAAGUUCGUAGAUAUUCGCAGGAACACCAGUGGCGAAGGCGGCUAACUGGUCCAUAACUGACGCUGAGGUGCGAAAGCGUGGGGAGCAAACAGGAUUAGAUACCCCGUAGUCCCUGUCUCUUAUACC
rnacentral:rRNA from 1 species